CCUACGGGAGGCAGCAGUAGGGAAUAUUGCUCAAUGGGGGAAACCCUGAAGCAGCAACGCCGCGUGGAGGAUGAAGGUUUUAGGAUUGUAAACUCCUUUUGUGAGAGAAGAUAAUGACGGUAUCUCACGAAUAAGCACCGGCUAACUCCGUGCCAGCAGCCGCGGUAAUACGGAGGGUGCAAGCGUUACUCGGAAUCACUGGGCGUAAAGAGUGCGCAGGCGGGCCUGUAAGUCAGAUGUGAAAUCCUGUAGCUUAACUACAGAACUGCAUUUGAAACUAUGAGUCUAGAGUGUGGGAGAGGUAGGUGGAAUUCUUGGUGUAGGGGUAAAAUGCGUAGAUAUCAAGAGGAAUACUCAUUGCGAAGGCGACCUACUGGAACAUUACUGACGCUCAUGCACGAAAGCGUGGGGAGCAAACAGGAUUAGAUACCCCUGUAGUC
rnacentral:rRNA from 1 species